UGUCAUGUGGAUGACUGAGUAUAAGAACUAGAACCGCAACUGCUUCCCAAAAGCUAAAGUAGUGUUUCCUUGUUAGAAGAUUCAAAGCCAAAGAAU
rnacentral:sRNA from 1 species